CCUACGGGGGGCAGCAGUGGGGAAUAUUGGACAAUGGGGGGAACCCUGAUCCAGCCAUGCCGCGUGUGUGAAGAAGGCCCUCGGGUUGUAAAGCACUUUCAGUGAGGAAGAACGCCUGGUGGUUAAUACCCAUCAGGAAAGACAUCACUCACAGAAGAAGCACCGGCUAACUCCGUGCCAGCAGCCGCGGUAAUACGGAGGGUGCGAGCGUUAAUCGGAAUUACUGGGCGUAAAGCGCGCGUAGGUGGCUUGAUAAGUCGGUUGUGAAAGCCCCGGGCUCAACCUGGGAACGGCAUCCGGAACUGUCACGCUAGAGUGCAGGAGAGGAAGGUAGAAUUCCCGGUGUAGCGGUGAAAUGCGUAGAGAUCGGGAGGAAUACCAGUGGCGAAGGCGGCCUUCUGGACUGACACUGACACUGAGGUGCGAAAGCGUGGGUAGCAAACAGGAUUAGAUACCCUGGUAGUC
rnacentral:rRNA from 1 species